GACGAACGCUGGCGGCGUGCUUAACACAUGCAAGUCGAGCGCUGAAGCUCAGCUUUUGUUGGGUGGAUGAGUGGCGAACGGGUGAGUAACACGUGAGUAACCUGCCCCCUUCUUUGGGAUAACGCCCGGAAACGGGUGCUAAUACUGGAUAUUCACUGGUCUUCGCAUGGGGGUUGGUGGAAAGGGUUUUUCUGGUGGGGGAUGGGCUCGCGGCCUAUCAGCUUGUUGGUGGGGUGAUGGCCUACCAAGGCUUUGACGGGUAGCCGGCCUGAGAGGGCGACCGGUCACAUUGGGACUGAGAUACGGCCCAGACUCCUACGGGAGGCAGCAGUGGGGAAUAUUGCACAAUGGGCGCAAGCCUGAUGCAGCGACGCCGCGUGAGGGAUGGAGGCCUUCGGGUUGUGAACCUCUUUCGCUCAUGGUCAAGCCGCAACAAUGGUUGUGGUGAGGGUAGUGGGUAAAGAAGCGCCGGCUAACUACGUG
rnacentral:rRNA from 1 species